GGCGGGGUGGCAGCAGCGCAGGAGUCAGCGGCCAGACACACCGGAGCCGCCGCUCCGAGCUGCUAAUUGCCCACAGCCAGCUCAUUAACGGGCACCGGCACCAGCGCUGCCCCCGCUCCCGCAGCGCGGCCCGGCGGGAGCCCCGGGCGCGGGAGCCCCGGGCGCGGGACAGGAGCACCCAACACCCAACACCCCGGCGGGGCCGCCCGGGGCGGCUCCCGCUCAGCGCUGGAUGCAGGAGUCACACCUGAGCCAGGCAACAUUUGGAGGUUAUUGCAGCAAAUCAAAGAGGGAAAUCACUCACCCUGCUCCUCUUCCCUGCCGUGGGGUAUGGUCAGACCAGACACAGCCCGGCUCCUUCUCCAGGUGUUGCCUGCACUGCUCUUCAGGAGGUCAUUUUCCACCAGUGCCAGCGAUGACGACCAGCAGCACCACGGCCAUUAGGGAGGGAGGUCCCUGCGAGCCCCGCGGUGCCAUUCCCGGGCACUGGGCUGAGCCCCCGCACACCUGGGCACAGGGGGCUCCUCAGCCCGGCCAGCGCAGGGACCUGAGACAAGAACCAGGGACAGGGACCAGGGACAGGGACCUGCUGAUGCUGUUACCCACAGCUGCCCUGCUCAGGAACACAACCAAACAUUCAGCCUCACAGAACAAUUUACAGAGGUGUAAUGUGAUCAGCCAGAUCAAGGUCCAUAAUGCCAAAAAUGCCCCCCUUUCAGAAAAAUAAGUGAAGAACAGAUCAUGACUGUCCAUCACAGCUGCAGUUUAGAGCGUAGCUGCAGCUUUUCUGGCACUAGGCUGCCAACAGCCCGUUCCUGGAGACAAAGACCCUGUCCCAGGGAUUCCAUCACACCUGCCCCAAGCGCAGCUGCCCAGAGACCCCUGACCCGCUGCUGCCGUAGCGGCUGCGAUUCAUUUCUGUGACACUUCACUUGUGGGGAGUCUGAGACGUUCGCCUGCGCUCCAUCAGUUGUUAGUUACAGAUGUCAUGUUUCUGCCUCAAACAAGGCAUUCUGACUUUUCAUAGACUAACAGCGGCUUUUUUCCUCACCUUUUAUUGAUUUAUAGGAUUCAUAUUAAAUAUGAUAGUUGCAAUAAUUCACCAGUAGUCUAUUAUUAUUAUAUACAAAAAUCUACAAAUAAAAUGUAAAUGUGCAAA